rnacentral:rRNA from 1 species
UACCUGCAGCUCAAGUGGUGACCGCUAUUAUUGGGCCUAAAACGUUCGUAGCCGGUUUGGUAAAUGCCUGGGUAAAUCGUGUAGCUUAACUAUACGAAUUCCGGGUAGACUGCUAAACUUGAGACCGGGAGAAGCUAGAGGUACUCCUGGGGUAGAGGUGAAAUUCUGUAAUCCUGGGGGGACCACCAGUGGCGAAGGCGUCUAGCUAGAACGGGUCUGACGGUGAGGAACGAAGCCCUGGGGCGCAAACCGGAUUAGAUACCCGGGUAGUCCAGGGUGUAAACGCUGCUUGCUUGAUGUUAGUUGGGCUCCGAGCCCAAUUAGUGUCGGAGAGAAGUUGUUAAGCAAGCUGCCUGGGAAGUACGAUCGCAAGAUUGUAACUUAAAGGAAUUGGCGGGGGAGCACAGCAACGGGUGGAGCGUGCGGUUU